AGGCCCGUAGCUCCAACAGGUAGAGCGGCGGACUCCAAAUCCGAUGGUUGGGGGUUCGAAUCCCCCCGGGCCUGCCA
rnacentral:tRNA from 1 species